rnacentral:rRNA from 1 species
UGGGGAAUUGUUCGCAAUGGGCGCAAGCCUGACGACGCAACGCCGCGUGGAGGAUGAAGGUCUUCGGAUUGUAAACUCCUGUUGAUCGGGACGAACAACCAUCGGGAUAACGCCCCGGAGGUCUGACGGUACCGAUUGAGGAAGCCCCGGCUAACUCUGUGCCAGCAGCCGCGGUAAUACAGAGGGGGCAAGCGUUGUUCGGAAUUACUGGGCGUAAAGGGCGCGUAGGCGGCCUGCUAAGUCGAACGUGAAAUCCCCGGGCUCAACCCGGGAACUGCGUCCGAUACUGGUUGGCUUGAAUCCGGGAGAGGGAUGCGGAAUUCCAGGUGUAGCGGUGAAAUGCGUAGAUAUCUGGAGGAACACCGGUGGCGAAGGCGGCAUCCUGGACCGGCAUUGACGCUGAGGCGCGAAAGCCAGGGGAGCAAA